ACGCGCAGCAUUCUGUAGCAAUACAGGGUGUGGGCGCGUGGCGAACGGGUGCGUAACACGUGGAUAACCUUCCUUCAGGUGGGGAAUAACCCAGUGAAAAUUGGGCUAAUACCGCAUAACAUGACGAUGCCACAUGGUGUUGUCUUCAAAGCCGCAAGGCGCCAGAAGAGGGAUCCGCGGCCGAUUAGCUUGUUGGCGAGGUAAUGGCUCACCAAGGCUUUGAUCGGUAGCCGGACUGAGAGGUUGGCCGGCCACACUGGAACUGAGACACGGUCCAGACUCCUACGGGAGGCAGCAGUGGGGAAUCUUGCACAAUGGACGAAAGUCUGAUGCAGCAACGCCGCGUGGGGGAUGAAGCUUUUCGGAGUGUAAACCCCUUUCGACCCGGAAGAAUGCCCGCAAGGGUUUGACGGUACGGGUAUAAGAAGCCCCGGCUAACUACGUGCCAGCAGCCGCGGUAAUACAGAGGGUGCGAGCGUUGUUCGGAAUUAUUGGGCGUAAAGGGCGCGUAGGCGGUGCCACAAGUCACCUGUGAAAUCUCUGGGCUUAACUCAGAGCCUGCAGGCGAAACUGUGGUGCU
rnacentral:rRNA from 1 species